GACGAACGCUGGCGGCGUGCUUAACACAUGCAAGUCGAACGGAAAGGCCCUGCUUGCAGGGUACUCGAGUGGCGAACGGGUGAGUAACACGUGGGUGAUCUGCCCUGCACUUCGGUAUAAGCUUGGGAAACUGGGUCUAAUACCGGAUAGGAGCCAUCUUUAGUGUGGUGGUUGGAAAGUUUUUUCGGUGUAGGAUGAGCUCGCGGCCUAUCAGCUUGUUGGUGGGGUAAUGGCCUACCAAGGCGGCGACGGGUAGCCGGCCUGAGAGGGUGUACGGCCACAUUGGGACUGAGAUACGGCCCAGACUCCUACGGGAGGCAGCAGUGGGGAAUAUUGCACAAUGGGCGCAAGCCUGAUGCAGCGACGCCGCGUGGGGGAUGAAGGCCUUCGGGUUGUAAACUCCUUUCGCUAGGGACGAAGCUUUGUUGUGACGGUACCUAGAUAAGAAGCACCGGCUAACUACGUG
rnacentral:rRNA from 1 species